CCUACGGGAGGCAGCAGUGGGGAAUAUUGCACAAUGGGCGCAAGCCUGAUGCAGCAACGCCGCGUGAGCGAUGAAGGCCUUCGGGUCGUAAAGCUCUGUCCUCAAGGAAGAUAAUGACGGUACUUGAGGAGGAAGCCCCGGCUAACUACGUGCCAGCAGCCGCGGUAAUACGUAGGGGGCUAGCGUUAUCCGGAUUUACUGGGCGUAAAGGGUGCGUAGGCGGUCUUUCAAGUCAGGAGUUAAAGGCUACGGCUCAACCGUAGUAAGCUCCUGAUACUGUCUGACUUGAGUGCAGGAGAGGAAAGCGGAAUUCCCAGUGUAGCGGUGAAAUGCGUAGAUAUUGGGAGGAACACCAGUAGCGAAGGCGGCUUUCUGGACUGUAACUGACGCUGAGGCACGAAAGCGUGGGGAGCAAACAGGAUUAGAUACCCCAGUAGUC
rnacentral:rRNA from 1 species